rnacentral:rRNA from 1 species
GACGAACGCUGGCGGCGUGCCUAAUACAUGCAAGUCGAACGCUUCUUUCCUCCCGAGUGCUUGCACUCAAUUGGAAAGAGGAGUGGCGGACGGGUGAGUAACACGUGGGUAACCUACCCAUCAGAGGGGGAUAACACUUGGAAACAGGUGCUAAUACCGCAUAACAGUUUAUGCCGCAUGGCAUAAGAGUGAAAGGCGCUUUCGGGUGUCGCUGAUGGAUGGACCCGCGGUGCAUUAGCUAGUUGGUGAGGUAACGGCUCACCAAGGCCACGAUGCAUAGCCGACCUGAGAGGGUGAUCGGCCACACUGGGACUGAGACACGGCUCAGACUCCUACGGGAGGCAGCAGUAGGGAAUCUUCGGCAAUGGACGAAAGUCUGACCGAGCAACGCCGCGUGAGUGAAGAAGGUUUUCGGAUCGUAAAACUCUGUUGUUAGAGAAGAACAAGGACGUUAGUAACUGAACGUCCCCUGACGGUAUCUAACCAGAAAGCCACGGCUAACUACGUG